rnacentral:rRNA from 1 species
AUUGAACGCUGGCGGCAGGCCUAACACAUGCAAGUCGAACGAGUGGCGGACGGGUGAGUAAUGUCUGGGAAACUGCCUGAUGGAGGGGGAUAACUACUGGAAACGGUAGCUAAUACCGCAUACCAUCGGAUGUGCCCAGAUGGGAUUAACUAGUAGGUGGGGUAAAGGCUCACCUAGGCGACGAUCCCUAGCUGGUCUGAGAGGAUGACCAGCCACACGGGAACUGAGACACGGGCCAGACUCAUACGGGAGGCAGCAGUGGGGAAGAUUGCACAAUGGGCUCAAGCCUGAUGCAGCCAUGCCGCGUGUAUGAAGAAGGCCUUCGGGUUGUAAAGUACUGUCAGCGGGGAGGCGUUACCCGCAGAAGAAGCACCGGCGAACGCCGUGCCAGCAGCCGCGGUAAUUC